UUUGGUAAACUAAUGUGUAAAGGGUCACACCUGUUCCUAUCCCGAACACAGAAGUUAAGCCUUUCAGCGCCGAUGGUACUUGGUGGGAGACCGCCUGGGAGAGUAGGUCGUUGCCGGAU
rnacentral:rRNA from 1 species